UACGUAGGGUGCAAGCGUUAUCCUGAAUUAUUGGGCGUAAAGAGCUCGAAGGCGGUUUGUCGCGUCUGCUGUGACAACCGGAGGCUCAACCUCCGGCCUGCAGUGGGUACGGGCAAACUAGAGUGCGGUAGGGGAGAUUGGAAUUCCUGGUGUAGCGGUGGAAUGCGCAGAUAUCAGGAGGAACACCGGUGGCGAAGGCGGGUCUCUGGGCCGAUAUUGACGCUGAGGAGCGAAAGCGUGGGGAGCAAACAGG
rnacentral:rRNA from 1 species